rnacentral:rRNA from 1 species
UAGUCCACGCCCUAAACGAUGGAUACUAGUUGUCGGGACACCUAAUCGUUUCGGUAACGUAGCUAACGCAAUAAGUAUCCCGCCUGGGAAGUACGGUCGCAAGAUUAAAACUCAAAGGAAUUGACGGGGGCCCGCACAAGCGGUGGAGCAUGUGGUUUAAUUCGACAAUAAACGGGGAAUCUUACCCAGACUUGACAUCCUAAGGAUUUUUUGGAAACAGAAAAGUGCCUUUACGGGAACUUAGUGACAGGUGCUGCAUGGUUGUCGUCAGCUCGUGCCUUGAGGUGUUCGGUUAAGUCCGUUAACGAGCGCAACCCAUGUCUUUAGUUAUUAUGUCUAAAGAGACUGCCUUGGUUAACAAGGAGGAAGGUGUGGAUGACGUCAAAUCAGCAUGGCUUUUACGCUGGGGGCUACGACACAUGAUACAAUGGUAUGUACAAGAGCAGCAAAACUGCGAAGUUGAGCUAAUCUUCAAAGCAUAUCUCAGUCCGGAUUGGAGUCUGAAACUCGACUCCAUGAAGUUGGAAUUG